rnacentral:rRNA from 1 species
UGACGGUAGCCAAGGAGGAAGCCCCGGCUAACUACGUGCCAGCAGCCGCGGUAAUACGUAGGGGGCAAGCGUUGUCCGGAAUGACUGGGCGUAAAGGGCGUGUAGGCGGCUUUUUAAGUCUGAAGUGAAAGUCCUGCUUUCAAGGUGGGAAUUGCUUUGGAGACUGGAAGGCUUGAGUGCGGAAGAGGUAAGUGGAAUUCCCAGUGUAGCGGUGAAAUGCGUAGAGAUUGGGAGGAACACCAGUGGCGAAGGCGACUUACUGGGCCGUAACUGACGCUGAGGCGCGAAAGCGUGGGUAGCAAACAGGAUUAGAUACCCUG